rnacentral:rRNA from 1 species
ACCGAAUAGAUACCCGGGUAGUCCACGCCCUAAACUAUGUCAACUAGUUGUUGGGAGAGUUAAAUCUCUUAGUAAACGCAGCUAAACGCGUGAAGUUGACCGCCUGGGGAGUACGGCCGCAAGGUUAAACUCAAAGGAAUUGACGGGGACCCGCACAAGCGGUGGAUUAUGUGGAUUAAUUCGAUGCAACGCGAAAAACCUUACCUACCCUUGACAUGUACGGAACGGGGCAGAGACGUCCCGGUGCCCGAAAGGGAACCGUAACACAGGUGCUGCAUGGCUGUCGUCAGCUCGUGUCGUGAGAUGUUGGGUUAAGUCCCGCAACGAGCGCAACCCUUACCAUUAGUUGCUACAUUCAGUUGGGCACUCUAAUGGGACUGCCGGUGACAAACCGGAGGAAGGUGGGGAUGACGUCAAGUCCUCAUGGCCCUUAUGGGUAGGGCUUCACACGUAAUACAAUGGCCGGUACAGAGGGUUGCCAACCCGGCGAGGGGAGCCAAUCCCAGAAAGCCGGUCGUAGUCCGGAUUGUUCUCUGCAACUCGAGAGCAUGAAGUCGGAAUCGCUAGUAA